rnacentral:rRNA from 1 species
GACAAAGGCCCCAAGCGUUAGGCGGAAUCACUGGGCUUAAAGCGUGUGUAGGCGGACGCUUAAGUGUCUUGUGAAAUCCCACGGCUCACCCGUGGAACUGCUGGGCAUACUGGGCGUCUUGGGCCAACUAGGGGCAGCCGGAACAAGCGGUGGAGCGGUGAAAUGCGUAGAUAUCGCUUGGAACGCCGAAGGUGAAAACAGGCUGCUGGGGUUGCGCCGACGCUGAGACACGAAAGCCAGGGGAGCAAACGGG